UGUGUGUUUACACAGGCCUGCCCUGCCUGUCAGUCAUUGUUUCAGUAUCUGUUUGUGUGCUCUCGUGUUCUCCUCGUGAUCCUUUUUGAAAGUUUUCUUAUUUUUUAUGUGUGUUGUGGAUUACUCCUCGACUUUAAUAAAAGGAGAUAUCAAUUCUUCUAGCUGCACUUACAGCCCUGACGGAAAAGAGGGAGCGUGAAGACGCCAAGAUGUCCAAGAAGAUGCCUACUUCCCCAUUUGACAGUAGUUCAGAUGAUGCUUCCAAUCAGGUUCCAUCAAAUAGCCAAGACUAUUUCAACAACAGACCUCCACAGCCAACAAGUAACCCUUACAGGCUGUACCCCAACAGACCUCAACAGCCAACAAGUAACCCUUACAGCCUGUUCACCAACAGACCUCCACAGCCAACAAGUAACCCUUACAGGCUGUACCCCAACAGACCAUCAGAGACAACAAGUAACCCUUACAGGCUGUACCCCAACAGACCUCCACAGACAACAAGUUACGAGUACAGCCAGUUCAACAAUCAGCAGGUCCAGAGCAGCAGUGCCUCCACAGAUGAUCCGAAUCAUGUCCGGCUCAUAAACCACCUUCAGUUCAACAGCAGACCCCAACAAACAACAAGUAAUGAUUACAGACAGUAUCACACAGUCCACACAGACACUGUAGUGAGGCACAACGCUCUCAGAGUCCAGGAAGGCGGUGUCAUAACACUAGAGGUGGGCAUAGAGAAUAGAGGCGAUAGGCGGAGCAACAGCUUUAGAUACUUCACCAACAGACGCGUUAAUCAUUAUCUAAUGGUGAUCCUAAUCAUUAAUUUUAAUAUUGUGCUUUUAGUAAUGUCACUCUUAUUUCAUGGCAGGAUAUAAAUUACUCUAUGAACAAACUGCCACCAGCAUUAGAUAAAAAUGUGCAAAACUGGAGAUGCCAGUUAACAGA